GAGGAUUUAGCUUAAUUAAAGUGUUUGAUUUGCAUUCAAUAGAUGUAAGGUAGUGUCUUGCAGUCCUUG
rnacentral:tRNA from 1 species